AACGAACGCUGGCGGCAUGCCUAACACAUGCAAGUCGAACGAGACCUUCGGGUCUAGUGGCGCCCGGGUGCGUAACGCGUGGGAACCUGCCCUUAGGUUCGGAAUAACUCCCCGAAAGGGGUGCUAAUACCGGAUAAUGUCUUCGGACCAAAGAUUUAUCGCCUUUGGAUGGGCCCGCGUUGGAUUAGCUAGUUGGUAGGGUAAAAGCCUACCAAGGCGACGAUCCAUAGCUGGUCUGAGAGGAUGAUCCGCCACACUGGGACUGCGACACGGCCCAGACUCCUACGGGAGGCAGCAGUGGGGAAUAUUGGACAAUGGGCGAAAGCCUGAUCCAGCAAUGCCGCGUGAGUGAUGAAGGCCUUAGGGUUGUAAAGCUCUUUUACCCGGGAUGAUAAUGACAGUACCGGGAGAAUAAGCUCCGGCUAACUCCGUG
rnacentral:rRNA from 1 species